UGUCACUCAAAAACCCUUAUUAGCAAUCGAUUUUUUAUUUAUUUUUCUAAAAAGGAACAGGGGGGGAAGAGAGAGAGAGAGGUGGCUUUUUUUGAGAGAAAAGGAAAAGGGAAAGUAAUGAUUUGGAGUUGGGCACACCACAGUC